rnacentral:rRNA from 1 species
UGGGGAAUUUUGGACAAUGGGCGAAAGCCUGAUCCAGCAAUGCCGCGUGCAGGAUGAAGGCCUUCGGGUUGUAAACUGCUUUUGUACGGAACGAAAAAGCUCCUUCUAAUACAGGGGCCAUGCACGGUACCGUAAGAAUAAGCACCGGCUAACUACGUGCCAGCAGCCGCGGUAAUACGUAGGGUGCGAGCGUUAAUCGGAAUUACUGGGCGUAAAGCGUGCGCAGGCGGUUAUGUAAGACAGAUGUGAAAUCCCCGGCUCAAGCCUGGAACUGCAUUGUGACUGCAUGGCUAGAGUACGGUAGAGGGGGAUGGAAUUCCGCGUGGU